AUUCUGUGCCUGUGAACAUGGCGGCGCCCGUUGUCACGGCCCCGGGCAGAGCUCUGCUGCGGGCGGGCGCUGGACGGCUGCUUCGGGGAGGCGUCCAGGAGCUACUGCGGCCGCGACAUGAAGGGAACGCCCCUGACCUGGCCUGCAACUUCAGCCUUUCUCAAAAUCGGGGCACGGUCAUCGUGGAGCGCUGGUGGAAGGUACCGCUGGCCGGGGAGGGCCGGAAGCCGCGCCUGCACCGGCGACAUCGCGUCUAUAAGCUGGUGGAGGACACGAAGCAUCGGCCCAAAGAAAACCUGGAGCUCAUCCUGACGCAGUCGGUGGAGAGUAAGGCCCGGGCCGAGGCGCUUCCUCUCAGGCUGGUCCGAUGUUGGAGUCCGGGGUGACCUGGUCUCAGUGAAGAAAUCUUUAGGCCGGAAUCGACUCCUUCCUCAGGGACUGGCUGUAUAUGCAUCCCCUGAAAACAAGAAGCUGUUUGAAGAGGAGAAAUUGCUGAGACAAGAAGGAAAAUUAGAGAAGAUCCAGACCAAGGCAGGUGAGGCGACAGUGAAAUUUCUAAAAAGCUGUCGCCUGGAGGUAGGGAUGAAGAACAAUGUCAAAUGGGAGCUGAACCCUGAAAUAGUUGCCCGCCACUUCUUUAAGAAUCUUGGUGUUGUGGUUGCCCCACAUACAUUAAAGUUACCAGAAGAGCCUAUCACACGGUGGGGCGAGUAUUGGUGUGAGGUGACGGUAAAUGGGCUUGAUACUGUGAGAGUGCCUAUGUCUGUCGUGAACUUUGAGAAGCCCAAGACCAAAAGAUAUAAGUACUGGUUAGCCCAGCAAGCUGCCAAGGCUAUGGCCCCCACCAGCCCCCAGAUCUAAAUCUACUCUCCCUCCAAGGCAGCAAAGCAGAAUCGGGAGCAGUGGAGCAGAAAUGUGCAAGCACCCUGAUCUCACUCCCAGCUCUGACCAAAUACAGAAUUUUAGAGAACAUCUGAAGACAUCAGACUGCACUGCGUAUACAUGUUGAAUUCUUCAUUUUUGCCAUCUUUAACUGUCAUCACUGGGGCAGGGAAGUCCUGUUCCAGAAGUACCAGGCUGUAGAUUUGAUAAGCUAGAUGCAGUAGACCGAAACCAUCCAAAACCUGUUUAGCUUCUUCCUCCAUUGGAGUUUAUUGGGACAAACAGGAGAGCCAGCCAUUGUCUCCAGUACUUGCCUCAUUCUCAUCAUCCAAACUGAACAUUUGUAUCCCAAGCAGAAAUAAAGAGAAUAUGUUCUUUUUAA